rnacentral:rRNA from 1 species
AUUGAACGCUGGCGGCAUGCCUUACACAUGCAAGUCGAACGGCAGCACGGGAGCAAUCCUGGUGGCGAGUGGCGAACGGGUGAGUAAUAUAUCGGAACGUACCCGGAAGGGGGGGAUAACGUAGCGAAAGUUACGCUAAUACCGCAUAUUCUGUGAGAAGGAGAGAGGGGGAUCGUAAGACCUCUCGCUUUCGGAGCGGCCGAUGUCGGAUUAGCUAGUUGGUGGGGUAAAGGCCUACCAAGGCGACGAUCCGUAGCGGGGCUGAGAGGAUGAUCCGCCAAACUGGAACUGAGACGCGGUCCAGACUCCUAAGGGAGGCAGCAGUGGGGAAUUUUGGACAAUGGGCGAAAGCCUGAUCCAGCCAUGCCGCGUGAGUGAAGAAGGCCUUCGGGUUGUAAAGCUCUUUCGGCUGAAAAGAAAUCGAACAGGCUAAUACCUUGUGUGGAUGACGGUAUCAGCAUAAGAAGCACCGGCUAACUACGUGCCAGCCGCCGCCGUAAGAC